rnacentral:lncRNA from 1 species
UGGAGCCUUGUUUGAAAUGAUUGCUGUUUCAAGGUCAAGGGCAGUUGUUUCAAGUGCAAGUGAUGAUAAAUUUUCCAUAACAAACUGCAUUAGGGCUCUGGAUGAGAUACAAGACAUUGAUCAACUGCUCUAUUUUUCUGCACUGGACCUGUUUGAGGACCCUAGAUUAAGGGAGACUUUCAUUUCCUUAAAAAGUGUCAAGAUUCGGCUGACAUGGUUACAAGGAAAGUGCAGUAAAAAUCCCUUCCAUUAAAUUUAAGUCAUUACUUAGGUUAAAUGUGUUGUUUAUAUUAUACACUUAUUUUUGUUUGGCUGGAAGUAAUUCUGUUUUUGGCUCUCAACCUGCCGUAAUUAUUUAUAAGUGCUAUUUCAUCUUAAGUUGAUUUUCAUAGUUAUUUCUCUGGAUUUAAUUUGUGAAUCAUUUAUUGUAUGUAGAAGAAUAAGCAAUGUUUGACCCGACACACCUUUGUGUCCGGAGUGAGUCCGGACACAUUAAGGAAAUUAUUAAUUUUUUUUGAAGUUAAAUCAUUUAUAAAAUUUAAAAUUAAUGAAACCUAAUACACCCCAAAAUAUCUUUCACCAGAUCUCACGAGUCGUUUGUUCUUCCUGUUCCACCAGCGACGGCGUUUUCUCCGCCGGGGACAACCUUGCUCCUGGUCCUCUUCGUCGCUUCUCUUCCCUGUUACUGGCUAAAGGUAAGACCUUUUUCACUUGUAUUUUGUUUUGACUCAUCCUUAUUAGUUUCUGUGUGAUAUGGUUAUUGUAAUGAUGUUGCUGUCAUAUAUUAUGAUAGAGAGCAUAAUCUGAUUAUGAUAUGAGUUGGAAGGAAUGUAUGAAUUUGUGUUUGAUUUUGUAGCGAUUUAAAAUGAAAACCAUUAUUGAGCUGAUUUUGCUGCAAUGCUAGAGAGGUUAUGUUUGUAUGUCCUUAUUUAAUUCGAUCUUUAAAGCUCCCCUGGAUGCACAUUAUUAUCAUGGUGUUCUACAGGAUAGGUCAUAUGUGUGACACUGUUUUAAAAACAAUAUGAUCUGUGACUUAGGUAGGUCAUAGAUGCAUGGGACAUUUUACUUUUUCUUAAAUUUUAGAGAAUCAAUGUAAUAGAAUCUUAUUGAGCUAUAAGCAUUCAUGCUGGUGCAGAUGGAACUUGAACCCAGUAUUCAACCCAAGCAAGAGCGUUCUAGAACAAGAUGGACAGCAUCCCUGGACAAAAUAUUUGCAGACUUGGUAGUCAAGCAGAUUCAACUGGGGAACAGGCCCAAUGAUAUUUUCGAUAAGAAAACAUGGAAUCAUAUCCGUGAUGAGUUUAACAGGCAAACCGACCUUAAUUUCAAUAAUAAUCAAUUAAGGAAGCAUCUAGAUGUUCUUCGGAUGCGUUACAACAAUUUGAAAUCUGCUUAUGAUCAUAAUAAUGGCUUUCUAUUGGAUGACUCCAUUUGCAUUGGAUUUGAACAGUGGGAAGACAUAGGGGUAAAUUCCUUUCUUUAACAAUCAUUUUCUUGACUCUUUUUUCAUUCAAUGUUAAUUUUAUUGGGUUUUGUACACAGGCACAGCCAAGGAAUGAAACAGUUAGAGUAAAAGAUUGUCCAAUAUAUGAGCAGCUUUGUACAAUAUUUGUAGAUUCAGCUGCUGAUGGGAAAUAUGCCCAAUCUAGUCAUUAUGAGGAGUUAGACAAAUCUAUUGGAAUAGAUGCUUCUGGCUUGUAUGAAAACCCAUCUUCAUCAAAAGCCAUUUCAGGGAAUAUCUUAACUGUUGAUAAGGAGACCAAGAAUUCUCUAGAUAGGAAGAGGAAACGUCAUCAUGAGACUCAAACUACUACUCUGGAUCAAGGCACUUGCGAUGCUAUGGCUGGAGCCUUGUUUGAAAUGAUUGCUGUUUCAAGGUCAAGGGCAGUUGUUUCAAGUGCAAGUGAUGAUAAAUUUUCCAUAACAAACUGCAUUAGGGCUCUGGAUGAGAUACAAGACAUUGAUCAACUGCUCUAUUUUUCUGCACUGGACCUGUUUGAGGACCCUAGAUUAAGGGAGACUUUCAUUUCCUUAAAAAGUGUCAAGAUUCGGCUGACAUGGUUACAAGGAAAGUGCAGUAAAAAUCCCUUCCAUUAAAUUUAAGUCAUUACUUAGGUUAAAUGUGUUUUUUAU